rnacentral:rRNA from 1 species
UACGGGGGGGGCAAGCGUUGUUCGGAAUUACUGGGCGUAAAGGGCUCGUAGGCGGCCAACUAAGUCCGACGUGAAAUCCCCAGGCUUAACCUGGGAACUGCGUCGGAUACUGGAUGGCUUGAAUUCGGGAGAGGGAUGCAGAAUUCCAGGUGUAGCGGUGAAAUGCGUAGAUAUCUGGAGGAACACCGGUGGCGAAGGCGGCAUCCUGGACCGAGAUUGACGCUGAGGCGCGAAAGCCAGGGGAGCAAACGGG